CCCGCCUGUCCCAGCGCCUCGGGCCCAGGCGGCCGCCCAGAGCCCCGCCGCCGCCCAGGGCGCUCCAGGUGCCCUCCGCGUCCCCGGAAAUAGGAGGCCUGGUCAGGGCACGGGGCCGGCCACAGAAUCCCCUCUGUGCCCAGUUCCCUCUCUGUUCAUGGGCCUGAGGACGCUGGUGCCAGAUGGCCAGAGAGCCUUCCAGGAUGAAAAUCUGUCACUCCCAUGUUCAAGACCCUCCCGUGGCCCCCCAGCUCUUCACCGUGGCUCCCAGAGCAAGGUAAUCCUGAGGGGCAAACUGUGGCCUGAAGACCAGCAGCGUUGCUAUGCCUUGGAGCGCAGAAUCUCAGCGCCUCCCAGCCCUGCAGGGUGACUCGGAAUCUGCAGUCUAAAAGAUGCCCAGGUCAGACUCAUGGGAGAGAGACUGGGAAGGUUGCUGAACUCUGGGGCCUGGGGGACAGCAGACGUGGUGCACAGCUGCGAUCCCAGCAGCUCAGAGGCUGAGGCAGAAGGAUCACAAGUUCAAGGCCAGUCUCAGCGACUUAAAGAAAACCUGCCUCAAAAGAAAAAAAAUAAUAAAAAGGGCUGGGAAUGGGGCUCAGUGGUAAAAUGCUCCGGGGUUCAACUCCCAGGAUCACAA